UGGGAUUCAUUUUCCAUCCUAUUCCUUUCUCUCCUAUAGUCAGCUGGGAAUUUGGGGGAUUGGUGGCUUUUGGCUGACCUCUCCAGCUUCAGAGUACAAUGGAGUUCAGGUUGUGACCUCCAGGAAGCCAAUUUGAGGGGCUCUGAUGUGAAAGGAGCCAUCUUUGAAGAGAUGCUGACCCCCCUGCACACGUCCCAGAGCAUCAGAUAGGGAAGAGAACACGUCGAAGAGGAAGGAAUCCAAACAUUUGUUGUGACUUUCUUCACCUCCUCCCCUUCCUGAGUUAGAAGGAAUGGUUAUUAGACAACUUCCAUUUGCA